UAUAGCAUACCAACUGAAAUGGGGGCUUCUCUAUCAGAGCUAGAGCAGCAGCACCAACAUCCUCAAACACAUCAUCAUUCACAGUCACAGCCACAACAAAAGCAUCACCAUUCUCUAUCAGAGCUAGAGCAGCAGCACCAACAUCCUCAAACACAUCAUCAUUCACAGUCACAGCCACAACAAAAGCAUCACCAACCAAAUGAACCAACCAAAAAUAAGGAAGAACUACGAUUAUCUUCCACAAGGGAAAACUUGUUGCUGUCUCCUCAACAAAACAUAGAAACC
rnacentral:lncRNA from 1 species